UACGUAGGUGGCAAGCGUUGUCCGGAUUUACUGGGCGUAAAGAGCGCGCAGGCGGUCGUUCAAGUCGCGUGUGAAAGCCCCCGGCUCAACUGGGGAGGGUCACGCGAUACUGAUCGACUCGAAGGCAGGAGAGGGUAGUGGAAUUCCCGGUGUAGUGGUGAAAUGCGCAGAUAUCAGGAAGAACACCCGUGGCGAAGGCGGUUCUCUGGGACGGUACUGACGCUGAGACGCGAAAGCGUGGGGAGCGAACAGGAUUAGAAACC
rnacentral:rRNA from 1 species